rnacentral:pre_miRNA from 1 species
AUCACCUGGGAAUCUUAUUAAAAUGCAGAUUAUGAUUCAAUAGCCCUGGGGUGGGGCCUGAGAUUCUGCAUUUCUAACAAGCACCCAGGUGAGGAUGG